rnacentral:rRNA from 1 species
AUACGUAGGUGGCAAGCGUUGUCCGGAAUCAUUGGGCGUAAAGAGUUCGUAGGCGGCAUGUCAAGUCUGGUGUUAAAUCCCGAAGCUCAACUUCGGUCCGGCAUCGGAUACUGGCAAGCUUGAAUGCAGUAGAGGUAAAGGGAAUUCCUGGUGUAGCGGUGAAAUGCGUAGAUAUCACGAAGAACUCCGAUCGCGAAGGCAGCCUUCCGGCCCGUCAACGACGCUCAUGCUCGAAGGUGCGGGUAUCAAACAGGAUUAGAUACCCUGGUAGUCCGCACAGUAAACGAUGGACACCCGCGGUUUGGCCUGUAUGGCUGAGCCGCCAAGCGAAAGCGUUAAGUGUCCCACCUGGGGAGUACGCCGGCAACGGUGAAACUCAAAUGAAUUGGCGGGG